CUCCUCAGUGCUGAGUGAGUGCAGUCUGCCAUGCUAAUUGUAGUCCAGGCAGGAUAGAGGGGAUUCUAAAUUGUCCCAAGUGUUGGUUGUCUUGUUCUAGUGAAAGGAAAGCAUGUCUUCCCUGCUUGGCUUUCCUUAAUAAGACACUGAUACUCGCAUGUUAAAACAGAAAGAAGUUUGUUUUAAUGUGAAGUCAACUGAGUAAGAAACACUUGAAAUGAAGAGCAUUGUGAGUUGUGAAACACAUUUAAUGGACUUUAGAGCUGUGGGUUUAAUCUGUAGAAAGUGGAACUAACUGCUGCUAUUCUAACCGAAACCCAGACAGAAAGAGGAGCUUCCAUUAAGUGUUAGAUAUAAUGAUCUAACAAAGAGAAAGGAACUUCCUUGCUUGAUUUUCCUAGGUCAGACUGUAAGAACUUUUUUUUGCUUAAAGAAAAGCAUGGGAAUAGGAACCUUGGAUUCUGCUUCAAGAUUGGAAUGUUAUGAAAAACAAGAGGGUGAUUUAUGCAACAAAGAAUUCCUUGACCUGGUAAACACAAAGACAACACAGAAGCUUAUUUGCAUAUCACUUAAGCUAGUUUUGAAGUCAACAAGGGAUUACUACUACCCUAAACAGCCAAAGCAGAAACCUAGACUGAUAAGUCUAACCUUUUCAGCCAUCUUCCGUCCCAAGAGUUUUCUGCCUAAAGUAACAGCUGGAGGACAUGUAACAGUAGUGUGGAAGUGCACCUUUAGCAGCAGGGACCUCUGUCACUGACAUGGAGAAAGAGUCGAGUAAGAUGAAAGCCAGGAGCAGAUUGAAGUCAAGUCAGAAUCCUCAUAGCAUCUAAAGAGAAUUUAGGCUUUGACUUGAAGCUCUGUCAUCAUCCUAUCCAUUUUCCAAGGAAUCAGAGUGUAGACCUCACUAUGGUACUCUGAGAAGUUUCCAGAACCACACAAGUUUCAGGAUAUUUCACAAUAAGGAUUAUCAAUGAUGGAACAACACCAGUGGGAUUAUUGCACCAGGCAGUAUGAUGAUUCAACAUUAGAGUUGUGUAAUAUCUUUGAGAAUUUAACAGUUUGGUUGGACAAAAGGAACUCCGAUUAUGACAACA